rnacentral:lncRNA from 1 species
UCAUCAUUCACACAAUUCAAUCAAAUUUCAUGGGUUUAACAACAACAUUUUCAUCAUUCACACAAUUCAAUCAAAUUUCAUGGGUUUAACAACAACAUUUUCAUCAUUCACACAAUUGAAUCAAAUUUCAUAGGUUUAACAUCAACAUUUUCAUUAUUCACACAAUUCAAUCAAAUUUCAUGGGUUUAAUAACAACAUUUUCAUAAUUCAAUCAAUUCAAUCAAAUUUCAUAGGUUUAACAACAACAUCUUCAUCAUUCACACAAUUCAAUCAAAUAUCAUGGGUUUAACAACAAGCCUUUCAUCAUUCACACAAUUUAAUCUAAUUUCA